UAUAACGCCCCUGCAAAAGCCCCCUGCCUUCAUCUUUCUUUAACCAGAGUCCAGACGUCAUCUUCCUUGCAACGAUCCUUUCUUUACUAGAGAAUUCCCUCAGUUAUCUUCUCUAAAGCCGUUCAAAAGUCUCACUCCCUUACACGAAUCAAACUAAUUGUUACGCUUUAAGAAUGAGCAGCAAUGCUAUCAUCGCAGAUUUCAUCCCUAAUCGUGGAGAUAUCCGCCGCAUCUACGCCUCUGAUCUCUGGCCCAAACUCAACUCCUUCGAGUCAAAUCUGAGUCCACUCCUCCACGAUGUCUCAGCCCCACUAACAGCAACCCAGCUCCCUUCAGGUACAAAGCCUUUACUGUGAUGUGCAUGGAGAAGAAGAGCCAGAGGAGCCAUCGAAGAGAGGUGAAGUCCGAACAGAGGAGGACAAAGUGGUUAACAAAGUCGAGGAGGAAGAGAGAGAAGUGCAGAAGCUAUCUGAUGGGCUAAUGGAGUAAGAGAACUUCAUGAAGUUCUUUCUGGAGCUUCGAUGACGAGAGCUUCGGCUCUGUAAUGGCGUCCAUUGGGAUCGAUCCUUCUUAUUUUUAUUUUUUAAUUUCCCAGGCAUCAAGUACUGUAAAUACUAAAUUCGGUGGAAUUUUCAAUUUUAUGGUUCUCUUAUUAAUUAGUUCUU